UACGAAGGGGGCUAGCGUUGCUCGGAAUCACUGGGCGUAAAGGGUGCGUAGGCGGGUCUUUAAGUCAGGGGUGAAAUCUUGGAGCUCAACUCCAGAACUGCCUUUGAUACUGAAGAUCUUGAGUUCGGGAGAGGUGAGUGGAACUGCGAGUGUAGAGGUGAAAUUCGUAGAUAUUCGCAAGAACACCAGUGGCGAAGGCGGCUCACUGGUCCGGUACUGACGCUGAGGUGCGAAAGCGUGGGGAGCAAACAGG
rnacentral:rRNA from 1 species